rnacentral:rRNA from 1 species
UACAGAGGGUGCAAGCGUUAAUCGGAAUUACUGGGCGUAAAGCGCGCGUAGGUGGUUUGUUAAGUUGGAUGUGAAAUCCCCGGGCUCAACCUGGGAACUGCAUUCAAAACUGACAAGCUAGAGUAUGGUAGAGGGUGGUGGAAUUUCCUGUGUAGCGGUGAAAUGCGUAGAUAAUAGGAAGGAACACCAGUGGCGAAGGCGACCACCUGGACUGAAUACUGACACUGAGGUGCGAAAGCGUGGGGAGAAACAG